rnacentral:lncRNA from 1 species
GUUCCCCUUGUUUGUUGGAUCUUUUAUGCGGCUGAUGCUGAUGUUCAUUUCUUGUGAGUGAAAAUACUAUUAUAUGGUUAGAAAAGUAUGGCUGAUUCUAAUUGAUAAGUUCACGUGAAUCAGAUGGUAAGACUAACACAUACAAAUAAAAUCGAACCUAAAAAUGAUGAAAGUGACAUACGAUAGUAAUAUUUUAUUUAUAUAUUUGAUCAACUUUGGCCGGUAAAAGAAUGAUUGAUAGUAUGGUUGAUUUUCAUUUAUAUUUAGUGCUUCAUGCAUGUGCCACAAGAUUUGAUGUGACAGAAAAUCUUGAAAAGUUUUUGGUUUUUUGGGUGAACUAAAUAAGGCCUUAAUUGUUUCGCAACAAUGUUACUUUAUAAGGACAAAAUUUAUAUACUAUCAUAGUAGUACGAUUUGCAUUAUAACGAUCAGAAAUUGGUCAUUAUAAUCCAAGAUUUUUUUUUGCCUGUUGCCUCUUGGUAGAAGUGCAGCAUUUAUGUCUUGUGGAGAUAAAGGGAAAUUAUUCUCUGAUUGAGGAACCGAAUUUUUCUUUUGAUCGAAGUCUUUCUAUCUUGUGAAAAUUCAGGGACCUUAAAGUUUUUUUUUCAAAGUUUUACCCGUACGAUUUUCCUUAAAAAACAAAUAUUCCAUUCUAUAAUUUGCCUAGAUACAAAAUGAAAGAUAUUUUAGAUAUAGGGUCCGUUUAGUUUCCUCUCUUUGUCCUAACCUGGCUAGAAUUAUAGUCGGUAAGCCUUAGCAUACUCCCACCAAACCAAUCUAUGAUUGUUUAGUUGUUUGGUUUUCGUUGUAUAAAGUCACCUCUUAGGCCUUGUUUAGUUUCCAAAUAUUUUUAAGAUUAUCCGUCAUAUUGAAUUU